CCGGGGUGGGCAGGCCCUGCGGCCAACUAACCCUAAUGGCGGCCGCGCCCCUCACGCUCGCCCGCUGUUUUACUCGCUGACUUUCAGCGGGCAAAGGGAGCGGCCCAGGGGAAGGGGCUGGUGGGGUGGGGGAAAAUAGAGUUCCGACCUCAAAAAAAGCCAGCGAUGGGGAUCCGCACCCCGGCCCACCCUGG
rnacentral:telomerase_RNA from 1 species